UACGGACCGGACGAACGUUAUUCGGAAUCACUGGGCUUAAAGAGUACGUAGGCGGCUUGGCAAGUUGGGUGUGAAAUCCCUCGGCUCAACCGGGGAACUGCGCCCAAAACUGCCAGGCUUGAGGAAGGCAGAGGUGAGCGGAACUGAUGGUGGAGCGGUGAAAUGCGUUGAUAUCAUCAGGAACACCAGUGGCGAAGGCGGCUCACUGGGCCUUUUCUGACGCUGAGGUACGAAAGCUAGGGGAGCGAACGGG
rnacentral:misc_RNA from 1 species